AGUUCUGAAGUUGGAAUUCUGAAGUCGGAGUUCAAUGGCAUAGAAGAUUAGCAUGGCCCCUGCGUAAGGAUGACACGCACAAUUCGAGACCAUGACACAUGCAU